AGCUUGUUGGUAAGGUAAUGGCUUACCAAGGCUAUGACGCAUAGCUGGUCUGAGAGGAUGAUCAGCCACACUGGAACUGAGACACGGUCCAGACUCCUACGGGAGGCAGCAGUGGGGAAUAUUGCACAAUGGAGGAAACUCUGAUGCAGCAAUACCGCGUGGAGGAUGACGCAUCUAGGUGUGUAAACUCCCUUUAUAUGAGAAGAAAUUUGACGGUAUCAUAUGAAUAAGCACCGGCUAACUCCGUGCCAGCAGCCGCGGUAAUACGGAGGGUGCAAGCGUUACUCGGAAUCACUGGGCGUAAAGGGUGCGUAGGCUGUUUAAUAAGUCAGGGGUGAAAUCCAAUAGCUCAACUAUAGAACUGCUCUUGAAACUGUUAAACUAGAAUCAGGGAGAGGUAGAUGGAAUUAGUGGUGUAGGGGUAAAAUCCGUAGAGAUCACUAGGAAUACCAAUUGCGAAGGCGAUCUACUGGAACUGUAUUGACGCUGAGGCACGAAAGUGUGGGGAGCAAACAGGAUUAGAUACCCUGGUAGUCCACACCGUAAACGAUGAACACUAGUUGCUGUGAUGCUAGACAUUGCAGUAAUGCAGCUAACGCAUUAAGUGUUCCGCCUGGGGAGUACGGUCGCAAGAUUAAAACUCAAAGGAAUAGACGGGGACCCGCACAAGCGGUGGAGCAUGUGGUUUAAUUCGAAAAUACGCGAAGAACCUUACCUAGCCUUGACAUUGAAAGAAUCCUUUAGAGAUAGAGGAGUGCUGGCUUACCAGAACUUGAAAACAGGUGCUGCACGGCUGUCGUCAGCUCGUGUCGUGAGAUGUUGGGUUAAGUCCCGCAACGAGCGAAACCCUUAUCUUUAGUUGCUAACAGGUUAAGCUGAGCACUCUAAAGAGACUGCCUAUGUAAGUAGGAGGAAGGUGAGGACGACGUCAAGUCAUCAUGGCCCUUAUGGCUAGGGCUACACACGUGCUACAAUGGUUAGGACAAUGAGAAGCAAAAUCGCGAGGUGGAGCAAAUCUAUAAACCUAAUCCCAGUUCGGAUUACAGUCUGCAACUCGACUGUAUGAAGUUGGAAUCGCUAGUAAUCGUAGAUCAGCAAUGCUACGGUGAAUACGUUCCCGGGUCUUGUACUCACCGCCCGUCACACCAUGGGAGUUGAUUUCACCCGAAGCCAGGAUGCUAAAUUAGCUACUGUCCACGGUGGGAUCAGCGACUGGGGUGAAGUCGUAACAAGGUAACCGUAGGAGAACCUGCGGUUG
rnacentral:rRNA from 1 species